rnacentral:rRNA from 1 species
AGGACGAACGCUGGCGGCGUGCUUAACACAUGCAAGUCGAGCGGAAAGGCCCUUCGGGGUACUCGAGCGGCGAACGGGUGAGUAACACGUGAGCAACCUGCCCUUAGCUUCGGGAUAGCUCCGGGAAACCGGAAUUAAUACCGGAUAUGACUAUGGCCGACAUCAGCCAUGGUGGAAAGUUUUUCGGCUAGGGAUGGACUCGCGGCCUAUCAGCUAGUUGGUGAGGUAACGGCUCACCAAGGCGACGACGGGUAGCCGGCCUGAGAGGGCGACCGGCCACACUGGGACUGAGACACGGCCCAGACUCCUACGGGAGGCAGCAGUGGGGAAUAUUGCGCAAUGGGCGAAAGCCUGACGCAGCGACGCCGCGUGGGGGAUGAAUGCCUUCGGGUUGUAAACCCCUUUCAGCAGGGACGAAGCGAAAGUGACGGUACCUGCAGAGAAGCGCGGCUAACUACGUGCCAGCAGCCGC